rfam:Enterococcus dispar ATCC 51266 genomic scaffold acpMG-supercont1.1, whole genome shotgun sequence.
AGUCGAAAAAGGUUAGCCGCAAGAAGUCAGCCGAAGCCAUAAUAGCGAAGAGAUUCGUGAAGGGC